AGUUGAGCGGAGAUUAUGGAGCUUGCUUUAUAUAACUUAGCAGCGAACGGGUGAGUAACACGUAGAUAAUCUAUCCUAUACUGGGGGAUAGCCCGAUGAAAGUUGGAUUAAUACCGCAUAUAGCUAUAUAGUUGCAUGAUUAUGUAGUGAAAGAUUUAUUGGUAUAGGAGGAGUCUGCGGCACAUUAGCUAGUAGGUGAGGUAAAGGCUUACCUAGGCGACGAUGUGUAGCCGGUCUGAGAGGAUGAACGGCCACAAUGGAACUGAGACACGGUCCAUACUCCUACGGGAGGCAGCAGUGGGGAAUAUUGCACAAUGGGGGAAACCCUGAUGCAGCAACGCCGCGUGAGUGAAGAAGGUUUUCGGAUUGUAAAGCUCUGUUAGCAGGGAAGAGGAAGGACGGUACCUGCAGAGGAAGCCACGGCUAACUACGUGCCAGCAGCCGCGGUAAUACGUAGGUGGCAAGCGUUGUUCGGAAUAACUGGGCGUAAAGGAUGCGUAGGCGGUUAAACAAGUUAUAUGUUAAAUAUAUAGGCUUAACCUGUAGAAAGCAUAUAAAACUGUUUAACUAGAGUGCGGGAGAGGUAAGUGGAAUUCCUAGUGUAGCGGUGAAAUGCGUAGAGAUUAGGAAGAACACCAGUGGCGAAGGCGACUUACUGGACUGUAACUGACGCUGAGGCAUGAGAGCAUGGGGAGCAAACAGGAUUAGAUACCCUGGUAGUCCAUGCUGUAAACGAUGGGUACUAGGUGUGGGUUGUGAAUAACAAUU
rnacentral:rRNA from 1 species